rnacentral:rRNA from 1 species
CAAGGUUAAAACUCAAAUGAAUUGACGGGGACCCGCACAAGUAGUGGAGCAUGUGGUUUAAUUCGAAGAUACGCGCAGAACCUUACCAACACUUGACAUGUUCGUCGCGACUCUAAGAGAUUAGAGUUUUCGGUUCGGCCGGACGAAACACAGGUGCUGCAUGGCUGUCGUCAGCUCGUGUCGUGAGAUGUUGGGUUAAGUCCCGCAACGAGCGCAACCCUCACUUUUAGUUGCCAUCAUUAAGUUGGGCACUCUGAAAGAACUGCCAGUGAUAAGCUGGAGGAAGGUGGGGAUGACGUCAAGUCCUCAUGGCCCUUACGUGUUGGGCUACACACGUGCUACAAUGGUAUCUACAACAGGAAGCAAGACUGCGAAGUUAAGCAAAUCCCUAAAAGAUACCUCAGUUCGGAUUGCACUCUGCCACUCGAGUGCAUGAAGCUGGAAUUACUAGUAAUCGUGGAUCAGCGUGCCACGGUGAAUGCGUUCCCGGGUCUU